rnacentral:rRNA from 1 species
UACGUAGGGUGCAAGCGUUGUCCGGAAUCAUUGGGCGUAAAGAGCUCGUAGGCGGUCUGUCGCGUCUGCUGUGAAAACCUGGGGCUUAACCCUGGGCUUGCAGUGGGUACGGGCAGACUAGAGUGCGGUAGGGGGAGACUGGAAUUCCUGGUGUAGCGGCGAAAUGCGCAGAUAUCAGGAGGAACACCGGUGGCGAAGGCGGGUCUCUGGGCCGUAACUGACGCUGAGGAGCGAAAGCGUGGGGAGCAACAG